rnacentral:rRNA from 1 species
UCUUUCCUCCCGAGUGCUUGCACUCAAUUGGAAAGAGGAGUGGCGGACGGGUGAGUAACACGUGGGUAACCUACCCAUCAGAGGGGGAUAACACUUGGAAACAGGUGCUAAUACCGCAUAACAGUUUAUGCCGCAUGGCAUAAGAGUGAAAGGCGCUUUCGGGUGUCGCUGAUGGAUGGACCCGCGGUGCAUUAGCUAGUUGGUGAGGUAACGGCUCACCAAGGCCACGAUGCAUAGCCGACCUGAGAGGGUGAUCGGCCACACUGGGACUGAGACACGGCCCAGACUCCUACGGGAGGCAGCAGUAGGGAAUCUUCCACAAUGGACACAAGUCUGAUGGAGCAACGCCGCGUGAGUGAAGAAGGGUUUCGGCUCGUAAAGCUCUGUUGGUAGUGAA